rnacentral:rRNA from 1 species
GGUUAAGUGACUAAGCGUACACGGUGGAUGCCUUGGCAGUCAGAGGCGAUGAAAGACGUAGUAACUUGCGAUAAGCCCAGAUUAGGUAGUAACAACCAUUUGAGUCUGGGAUUUCUGAAUGGGGAAACCCACUUACAUAAGUAAGUAUCCUUACCUGAAUACAUAGGGUAAGGAGGCGAACCGGGGGAACUGAAACAUCUAAGUACCCCGAGGAAAAGAAAUCAACCGAGAUUCCGAAAGUAGCGGCGAGCGAAA